rnacentral:sRNA from 1 species
CCAGGGGCUCACGCCCCUGGCUAAUGACGGCGUCCCUUUGGGACU